rnacentral:lncRNA from 1 species
AUGGCAAGUCCUUUCGGGGGCGCCGGGCAGGUUCGCGCCCAGGCUGGGCCGAAUGCCCUCGGCCGCGCGCCCCGAUGCUUCUCGCCCAGGGUUACCCCGGAGCGCCUGCCCCGGGGGAACGAGAGUCCCCGCCGACCCUCCGGUGACGCCGCCGGACCCGCCCCGGCCUCUCGGACCCCAGGUGGCUCGCGGGCUCCAGCCGCCCGCGCGCGCCCGAGCGCCUGCCUCCUCGCCUGGCCAGGUGCAGGAGGAGGAGCCGUAGGGGUGGCGGAGAGAGAGUUGGAUCCCACCUCGAGGCCCAGGUCCCACCCAGGCGGAGGCGAAGACGACGGCGGCGCGGGGGCUCGGACACCUGCGUCGCUCGCGCUCGGACGGCCGUGGGCUCUGCGGUGGGGCGGCUCCAAACUCGUCGCGGAAGAAUGCUGCCAACAUAAAUAAGGGAAAAUUGCAUUACUCCUGACUACCUAAAAAGGUAUAUAAUACCAAUGGAAGUCAUAGCAGCUAUUUAGUCUUAUUAUUUUUUUUUACACAAUUUUGAAAGGGUACUUUCAACUUACAGUUAUUACACAAUAUUGGCUAUAUUCUCCAUGCUGUAUAAUACAUUCUUGAGCUUAUCUAAACACCCAGUAGUUUCACAGCAGCCAUUUUUGUUUGUUUGUUUUCUGGCCAUGCCAUAUGGCAUGAAGGAUCUUAGUGCAGUGGAAGCAUGGUAUCCUAAUCCCUGGACCAGCAAGGAAUUCCCUCUCAGUGGCUUUUGAACUAUGACCAAGAAUCUAAUUCUAGUUGAAAGGUAAAUCAGUCAGAUUAUUUGCUUGCAAUUUACUACCAAGAAUAAAACUUCUUUCAUUCCAAUCUUAAAAUAUGUAGCAGAACCUGGACUAAAAUAUGACUUUUCCUCAAAGAAUUUAUCUUUUAUUACAUUAGUUCAGUAUUUCAUGCUAUAUCUUCAUAUUUAUUAGCUAUUUACCUCUUUACCAAAAGUGAGCAUCAAGGUGUAAGAGAAAUUACAAAGUUAUUCAAAUAUCAUGCUUAAUCCAAAGUAAUUAUUAUUUCCUUUAAAAAAAUUUUUUUUGUUUUUAUUUUUUUAUUUGUUUGUUUGUUUGUUUGUUUUACUUUACAAUAUUAUAUUGGUUU